rnacentral:tRNA from 2 species
GCCGGGGUGAUGGAAUUGGUAGACAUGCGGGACUCAAAAUCCCGUGCCCUUUAAAGGCGUGGGGGUUCGAUUCCCCCCUCCGGCACCA